rnacentral:tmRNA from 1 species
GGGGUCGACCGGUAUUGACAGGACGAGUGGUUGCGUAUGUAAGCAUGCAGGCUCAUAGGGUGAGAGCCUUGAAAGAUGACUCUAUAUUUUACUUGGCGAAAAUAACUACGCCAUGGCAGCAUAAUCUUAAACUUAGUUUAGGAUUUGCGUUUGGGUUGAGCUAAUAGUUCCCCAGCCAUCAUCCCUCCCGACUUCUGUUUUGUGAGUUGGGGUUUAGGGGUGUCGUAAUGCAAAACUAGCCAUAAUAGCGUUAUGAUAUUUUGGUGAAACUAAAGUAACUAAGGUUGUACUUGGGUGUCUUUCUCCGGGUAUUUCCCGACAAUUAAUGAAAGAAUAAGCAUGUAGAAGAUACGACAGUUACCUUCUCUGGACGAGGGUUCGAAUCCCUCCGACUCCACUA